CUGUUAGUUACAAAGCUGAGACCAAGAAUGAGAAAUGCUGACCCACCCCAGUGACCACACUCAACAGACGUGAGUCCCUCCCUCUUCCCAGAGGACCCUGCCUUCCUGUCUGCACUGCACAUCUCCCCAGAUUUCUGGAUUGAGAGUUGGGUUUGAAUCCCAGGUCUGUAAUACACUUCCUCGGUGGCCUCCAGUAACUGAGAACCUCUGGCGUCCAUUUGCUCGCUUGAAAAUGAAGAUGGACAAACUGCUCAUGGGUUGCCAAGCAGGUUAGUGAGGCCAUAGGGAGCUGGUCACAAAGGAGGUGCUCAGUAAAGGACAGCUGUGAUGAUGCCAUCCCCCAGACCUCCAGGAUGUGAAAACCAUUUUCCUUGUAGGGGGCCACAGAACCAGCAAGGAAUAUGCUUAAUUGGAUGAUAAUGGAUGAUCAACUAAAAGCAAGUCAGCUGGAUGUAACACACACAACAGAAAAACCCAAAAUGACAGGAGUUUAAAGAGGAGAGAAGUUCAUUUCUCACCCACAUAAAGAUGUCUGCAGCAGGCAGCCCAGGGCUGAAAGGAGAACUUCACACUUUGCUUGGGGAUCCACCUGCCUGUCUAUCUGAUCUGCUUUCUUCAAUGAAUGGCUUCCAUCCACAAGAUGCGUCACAAUCCAAGAAAUCGGUGGAAAUCCAUCCUCAAGUGCCCAUUCCAGGCAGGCGGCAGGACAGCAUGUGGAAGACAAAAACGAUGCUCCUCCCAACUGGGUCAGAAGCUUGAAACUCCUUUCCAAGAAGUUCCCUGUGCCACUUCUACUUAAAUCUCCGGCCGGAAGUUCAUCUUACGGCCUCAGCAGCUGCACAGGUUGCUGGAAAAUUGUUGCCUUUUGGGUGCAUUGCCACGUUGAAUAAAACCGAGGUUCAAUUUUAUUGAGAAAGUGGGGGAGGCUGGAUGUUGAGUGGCAACAAGCAACCUCUGCCACAAAUAGACAACCUUUCCUCACUCAACAGAUGCCGCACACUCUGCAGAGGAUGGGGUGAAAAGAGAAAGAAACGAAGAAAAACACAACACAGAGCCUGAUAUUCAGGGACUCAUGGUCUGACAGGGGAGACAGAUAUGUAAUAAAUGAGUUUAUUAGAGUGAUCACUGCACUCAUAAAAGUGUGUACUGCGAAGAUGGAUGGUACAAAGGGGGCUGUUGCCCAUUGAUCCUGAAGUUUGAUGAAGACAUAUCUCUUUAAGGUAAUGGCCUUUGCAACCAUGGAGACUUUCUCCAGGAAAACUGGAAGAGUGCAGACAAAGACAGAAGUUUUUCUUCUAGCGGUCAAAUUUUUACGUCCUCUCUUUGUGUCCGCCUCUCUUGCUGAAGUCUAUAAGCUGAUAUCUAGAGAAGAGCUGUGUACCCUUGGGAAGGCCAAUUGACUUCUGCACCUUAGCUGAAUUGCGAGAGGGCUGGAAGGGCUGAACUCCAUCCAAGGCUCCACUGAACCAUCCAGCUGAACCUUGAGGCUGUAGGAGGAGCCUGUGCCACCCAAACCAUGGAAACUCCGAGAACUAAAGAAUCCAAGAGAUUACCAACUGUCCCAUUUAACUGUGAAGAAACUGAGCUCAGAGAGGUUCAAUGUUUCUGAAGCUCGACAACAAUCAAGUAAACAAACAAACAAGAAAACUGAAAAGGUCAGAUGGUGAAAAGUGGUUUACGUAAACCUAAAAUAGGAUGAUGUGAAAAGACUGGCUAGGGGCUACUUUGGUCUGCUUAUUGCAUCUCACCCUCGUACCAGCCUUAUGAGGUAUCGGGAAACUGAAGCUCAGAGAUAUUUCACAGUUUGCCUGAGGUUAAACAGCUACUCAUUAGUGAAGCCAGGAUUCAAGUUCAGACAAUGAGACCUCACACACUGCUCUUCUCUUUAAGCAGGAGCCUGAGUGUUACACGAAGCGCCUUCGUCUGUGCAGCUGGAGGUCCCUUUGCUGUAGUCUAGCAGAUGGUGCACUACAUGGAAGGGACAGAGAUCCUGUGACUAUAGGAAAUGGUCAAGACUCUCAGACUCUCAGUAUCUCCGCCUGCAAAAUGGGUUUAUAACAUUCUCCCUCCCACCCCACAAGACCCUGGGAGGACCACCUUUAGGACUGAAUAAAGACUAUCUAGCCCAAACCCUCACUUUACAGAUAAAAAUGGUGAGACACUGGCAGGCCAUGCAGCCUCUCCGAGUUGCUCAGUGAAUUGAUGACCAAGACUGGGCUAGAAACCCAGUGUACUAGUCAGCUAAUGCCUCAUAACAAGUGCUGGAGCUUAAAGUUAAAAACAUAACCCUCCUGCAUAUAUAAAAUGAAUACAUGGCAAAGAUUUUUACCCAACUCAUGAAGUAGUGAGAAUCAGUAAGAGGUUGAGACCCGUUCAAAGGAGAUUUUGAACAGAGAGAUACAUAGAUAAUCAGGAAUGCUGAAAUAAAUUGCUAAAAUAUGCAAAACAGGUUAAUAUUCAAAAGGCCAUAAACUUUAAGGUUUGGCGUUUUCUUUCCUACACGGUACAAAUCAAUUGUAUCUGUACAGCAC
rnacentral:lncRNA from 1 species